CAGUCGAGCGGACAGAUGGGAGCUUGCUCCCCUGAUGUUAGCGGCGGACGGGUGAGUAACACGUGGGUAACCUGCCUGUAAGACUGGGAUAACUCCGGGAAACCGGGGCUAAUACCGGAUGGUUGUUUGAACCGCAUGGUUCAGACAUAAAAGGUGGCUUCGGCUACCACUUACAGAUGGACCCGCGGCGCAUUAGCUAGUUGGUGAGGUAACGGCUCACCAAGGCGACGAUGCGUAGCCGACCUGAGAGGGUGAUCGGCCACACUGGGACUGAGACACGGCCCAGACUCCUACGGGAGGCAGCAGUAGGGAAUCUUCCGCAAUGGACGAAAGUCUGACGGAGCAACGCCGCGUGAGUGAUGAAGGUUUUCGGAUCGUAAAGCUCUGUUGUUAGGGAAGAACAAGUGCCGUUCAAAUAGGGCGGCACCUUGACGGUACCUAACCAGAAAGCCACGGCUAACUACGUGCCAGCAGCCGCGGUAAUACGUAGGUGGCAAGCGUUGUCCGGAAUUAUUGGGCGUAAAGGGCUCGCAGGCGGUUUCUUAAGUCUGAUGUGAAAGCCCCCGGCUCAACCGGGGAGGGUCAUUGGAAACUGGGGAACUUGAGUGCAGAAGAGGAGAGUGGAAUUCCACGUGUAGCGGUGAAAUGCGUAGAGAUGUGGAGGAACACCAGUGGCGAAGGCGACUCUCUGGUCUGUAACUGACGCUGAGGAGCGAAAGCGUGGGGAGCGAACAGGAUUAGAUACCCUGGUAGUCCACGCCGUAAACGAUGAGUGCUAAGUGGUUAAGGGGGUUUCCGCCCCUUAGUGCUGCAGCUAACGCAUUAAGCACUCCGCCCUGGGGGAGUACGGUCGCAAGACUGAAACUCAAAGGAAUUUGACGGGGGCCGCACAAGCG
rnacentral:rRNA from 1 species